GAUCAUGGCUCAGGAUGAACGCUGGCGGCGUGCUUAACACAUGCAAGUCGAACGAAGAUGCCGGAGUGCUUGCACUUUGGCAGACUGAGUGGCGGACGGGUGAGUAACGCGUGGGUAACCUGCCUUAUACGAGGGGGAUAACAGUUGGAAACGACUGCUAAUACCGCAUAAGCGCACGGUAUCGCAUGAUACAGUGUAGAAAACUCCGGGUGGUAUAAGAUCGGACCCGCGUCUGAUUAGCUAGUUGGUGAGGUAACGGCCCACCAAGGCGACGAUCAGUAGCCGACCUGAGAGGGUGACCGGCCACAUUGGGACUGAGACACGGCCCAAACUCCGUACGGGAGGCAGCAGGUGGGGAAUAUUGCACAAGUGGGGGAAACCCUGAUGCAGCGACGCCGCGUGAGCGAAGAAGUAUUUCGGUAUGUAAAGCUCUAUCAGCAGGGAAGAAAAUGACGGUACCUGACUAAGAAGCACCGGCUAAAUACGUG
rnacentral:rRNA from 1 species